rnacentral:rRNA from 1 species
GGCAGACGGGUGAGUAACACGUGGGAACGUACCCUUCGGUUCGGAAUAACGCUGGGAAACUAGCGCUAAUACCGGAUACGCCCUUUUGGGGAAAGGUUUACUGCCGAAGGAUCGGCCCGCGUCUGAUUAGCUAGUUGGUGGGGUAAUGGCCUACCAAGGCGACGAUCAGUAGCUGGUCUGAGAGGAUGAUCAGCCACACUAGGACUGAGACACGGCCCAGACUCCUACGGGAGGCAGCAGUGGGGAAUAUUGGACAAUGGGCGCAAGCCUGAUCCAGCCAUGCCGCGUGAGUGAUGAAGGCCUUAGGGUUGUAAAGCUCUUUUGUCCGGGACGAUAAUGACGGUACCGGAAGAAUAAGCCCCGGCUAACUUCGUGCCAGCCGCCGCGG